rnacentral:lncRNA from 1 species
CGCAGGUUUCUACACCCACUUUCCCAAAUUGCCCGUUGCAAAGGAUGUGGGCAUCAUUUUUUAAUAGACCUGCUCCAAAUUGCCCGUUGCAGAGGAUGUGGAAAUCAAUAUCUGACACGCCUCCUCCAAGUUGCCCGUUGCAGAGGAUAUGGGCAUCAAUAAACGGAUAAUGCAGGUAAGGAGAAACACUAUGCCUGGUGAUACCUCAAAACAUCACCAAAUAUGAGAAUAGAUUGACUUACCCUAUGAAGAGACUUAGGCAUGUUACGAGUAGAAUGAAAAGAUACAGAACACCUCAAAUAUGUGAACAGUGUAGAACACCUCAAAUAUGUGAACAGUGUAUUGAAAUUUUGAAAUGUAACCAGCAUUUAGCUUUUUCAUUUCAUCUACAUUAAAACUAUUUAAUCUGUCGUGUUUUCUGAAAAUGAGAGUCAAUGUUGGUGCCUGAGGAAUUCAAUACUAUGGGUUUGUACAAGUCAGAUUCAACGUUCUCCAUUUUCUUAAUGUGAGAUCAACGGGAAACCUUGUUAUAAAGUUUACAAUGUGAUCAAGAAGCCAAGCACCAGCUGGAUUUGGUUUCACUGUUUAGAUGUGUUCAAAAGUUUUUGCCUUAAACCUGCA